rnacentral:RNase_P_RNA from 1 species
AAGACAUACAGUCGCUGUCGGCAUUUGCCGGCAGAGGAAAGUCCGGGCUUCGCAGGGCAGGAUGCCGGAUAACGUCCGGUGGAGGUGACUCCAAGGCCAGUGCAACAGAAACAGACCGCCCGUGUAUGCGGGUAAGGGUGGAAAGGCAGUGUAAGAGACUACCGCCCGUCCGGUAACGGCCGGGGCAGAUGUAAACCCCAUCCGAAGCAAGGCAAAGCAGAACUAUGCGGUGGCCCGCCGCGUUCUGCGGUGGCCGCGAUGAGCCGCCCGGCGACGGACGGCCAAGAUAGAUGACUGUACAUGACAGAACCCGGCUUACAGGCUUACUCG